GACGAACGCUGGCGGCGUGCCUAAUACAUGCAAGUCGAACGCAGUGGGGACGGGUGAGUAACACGUGGGUAACCUCCCAUCAGAGGGGAUAACACUUGGAAACAGGUGCUAAACCGAUACUGAUGGAUGGACCCGCGGUGCAUUAGCUAGUUGGUGAGGUAACGGCUCACCAAGGCCACGAUGCAACGCCGGCCCGACAAAGUAAACGGCCGCACUGGGACUGAGACAAGGCCCAGACUCCUACGGGAGGCAACAGUGGGGAAUCUUCGGCCAUUGACGCAAGUGUGACCGAGCGACGCCGCGUGGGUGAAGAGGGUUUGCGGAUCGUAAAAAUGUGUUGUUAGAGAGGAGGUAUCUAACCAGAAAGCCACGGCUAACUACGUGCCAGCAGCCGCGGUAAUAC
rnacentral:rRNA from 1 species